rnacentral:rRNA from 1 species
GACGAAGCCGUGCGAACGUUGUUCGGAAUCACUGGGCUUAAAGGGCGCGUAGGCGCUCCGCCAGUCCGGGGUGAAAUCCAUCGGCUCAACCGGUGGACGGCCUGGGAUACUGCGAAUCUCGAGUCGGAAGAGGUGAGUGGAAUUCCUAGUGUAGAGGUGAAAAUUCGUAGAUAUUAGGAAGAACACCAGUGGCGAAGGCGGCUCACUGGUCCGGUACUGACGCUGAGACGCGAAAGCGGUGGGGAGCGAACAGG